CGGAGCUGAGGUGUCAGGCCAGGUGUGGGGCCUCCCACUGGCUUCCCCUCUGCCUCAAGGAUUACAAGCACCACGGAGUUUAACUACGUGCAAGCUCGGAGGUAGAUCUUCGGGGAGGGGCUGAAGGUAAAAUGACGUUGGAGUUGGGGAGUGGGUUAGAGCUCAGACUGGGGCAGAGGGACGGCAUUCUUUCCUCCUGCUGACCUAGCCAGCGCAUUGUGUUCCAGACCUAACAGCAAGCAGCCGGCAGAAGCCCCUCCCUUUCCAGGAAUGUCUCAGCCCCUUAGAAGGCGCAGGGCCACGUCAGCCAAUUGGCUCAGGCCCUGCCCUGGAAACAACACCUGUUAAUCCCCCCUCCUUCCAGCUCACCUAGGUGCAAGUUGGGCAGGUGAAUCGUCUCCCGGAAACGGAGCUAGAACGCCCCACCUGGGGGGCCCCUGCCUUCUCAAAUCGGAUUCAGCCACAGCCAGGCUUCUCAUAAAGCCUCUAAGAGCUGAGCUGGGGCUUGCCGGUCCCAUUCAAGGCCCUCCUGGACUCGCAGCUGGCACCUACAGGCUCUGUCUCUGCUGCUGCAGGAAGCUGGCUCCUUGCCGGCUGUGCCAGCUUUAUUUUUACCUGGUGAGCCAGUAGUGACAGCUGAGGCCAUGUGAGUCUGGUCCUGAAUGAGGCUUUAUCUCUGACUGUUCAUCCCAUCAUCCACUGUGGCACCAGCUUCCUGGAUGGAACAGGCAACUGAGCCGGCCAGAGCACGAGAGGUCAGGGGCCCAGCUGGGCAAGGGGAUUCCUUGAAGGGGAGAGGGGGUGGCUCUGUGGUGGAGGGAACUCUGUUGGGGUCAGGAGAGGCAUUUUCCCUGGAGGUGGAAUGCUGGGGCUGCAGCUUUCAGAAACAGGUCCUGAGGACCCUGAGGAAGAUUCUUGGGGCCCUUCCCUAAGACUCACAGGUGAGAUUAUGAGGGCCAGAUGGGUGGGAAAUAACAUGAUCCUGUCCUGCAGGUGAGUAAUAGCCAUAUCCUGGACUGAGAAGAGGAGAUUGGGCCUCUAGCUGCCAACCAGGUGAUGGGGACACAGGGCCAUGAUAAACACCCUCUGAG